rnacentral:rRNA from 1 species
AACGAACGCUGGCGGCAUGCCUAACACAUGCAAGUCGAACGAACCCUUCGGGGUUAGUGGCGCACGGGUGCGUAACGCGUGGGAAUCUGCCCUUUGCUUCGGAAUAACAGUUAGAAAUGACUGCUAAUACCGGAUGAAGUCUUCGGACCAAAGAUUUAUCGGCAAGGGAUGAGCCCGCGUAGGAUUAGGUAGUGGGUGGGGUAAAGGCCUACCAAGCCGACGAUCCUUGGCUGGUCUGAGAGGAGGAUCAGCCACACUGGGACUGAGACACGGCCCAGACUCCUACGGGAGGCAGCAGUGGGGAAUAUUGGACAAUGGGCGCAAGCCUGAUCCAGCAAUGCCGCGUGAGUGAUGAAGGCCUUCGGGUCGUAAAGCUCUUUUACCAGGGAUGAUAAUGACAGUACCUGGAGAAUAAGCUCCGGCUAACUCCGUGCCAGCCGCCGCCGUAACAC